GCAGUCGAACGGCAGCACGGGUGCUUGCACCUGAGUGGCGAGUGGCCUUAGGGUGAGUAAUACAUCGGAACGUACCUUAUCGUGGGGGAUAACGCAGCGAAAGCUGUGCUAAUACCGCAUACGCCCUGAGGGGGAAAGCGGGGGAUCGAAAGACCUCGCGCGAUUAGAGCGGCCGAUGCCUGAUUAGCUUGUUGGUGGGGUAAAAGCCCACCAAGGCGACGAUCAGUAGCUGGUCUGAGAGGACGAUCAGCCACACUGGGACUGAGACACGGCCCAUACUCCUACGGGAGGCAGCAGUGGGGAAUUUUGGACAAUGGGGGAAACCCUGAUCCACCAAUGCCGCGUGAGUGAAGAACGCCUUCGGGUUGUAAAGCCCUUUUGUCAGGGAAGAAACACCGGCUCUAACACAGUCCGGGAAUGACGGUACCUGAAGAAUAAGCACCGGCUAACUACGUGCCAGCAGCCGCGGUAAUACGUACGGUGCGAGCGUUAAUCUGAAUUACUGAGCGUAAAGCGUGCGCAUGCUGUUAUACA
rnacentral:rRNA from 1 species